UUUUUUUUUUUUUUUUUUUUUUUUUUUUUUUUUUUUUUUUUUUUUUUUUUUUUAGAAAAAGGUAGAAGAGGCUUGAGAGAACUUGUUUGUCCCUUCUGCCAUGUGAGAACACAUAGAAGUCACUGUCUAUCAGGAAUGGGCUCUCACCAGACAUGGAAUCUGCUGGAACCUUGGACUGCCUAGCCUCCAGAACUCAACGUCUGACAAAGUUUUGCACCAUGUAUAUACUGGGUAGCAAAUAACUUAGACAAGCAAAAGGUGCCACCUGACACUGGGAUUUCAGGAGGGAGGGCAAUGAAGAAAAUCCAGCCUUGAGCACUGGAAUCUCCCAAGAGUCUGAGAUGGAAGGCUGAUGAAGAGAAGGAACAGGGAGAGGGAAUUAACUUUCCUGAGCUCAGUGCUUGAGUGAUAGUCAAAUCUCCGUAUACCAAUCAUGGAGCAGAGGUGCUAUGAGAGAUUCCUAACUCCUGAAAAACUGUGACAAAGAUGUUGAUGUUGGAAAUAUUUUUGAGGCUAAUGUAUUACCAGUGGAUUGAAGAUUAGAAGAGGCAAGACUCGAGGUAGGAAGGUCUCACAGGGCACCAGGAAUCAUUCAAGGGAGAGGAUGUAAUAGGCGUGAGAAUGCGGAAGAUCAGGAAGUUACUAGAUGAAUUAAAGUUGUAUUAAGAAAGUUACUAGAUGUAGGUUUGACACACUUAAGGUUUGAUGGCACAUAAA